rfam:Rattus norvegicus chromosome 1, whole genome shotgun sequence.
UCCCUUUGACCCAUUAUUGCAGACUUAAAAACAAGCAUGCUUUCAAAUGGUACUAUGAGUUGCCAAUGAUGUAUCACCCCCUUAUCUCAUUAUUCUCUGCUAAAUGUGAUAAUAAUGCGAUCUGUUAACAUAAAAAGUUUGGCUCCACAAAAGCAGCUGGAAAUGGACAACCACAAUAUGCAUAAAUCUGGCUCCUACCAUCGGCUGCACUCUGCUUGACACAUAUUGUUAGAAGCACCUCUUCUUGGUGAGCUCUCGUAAGCAAAAUACUUGCAUUAGGACUCAGCUGGGGUGAGCAUCGGGGCAGUUUGGAAAAUAUUCAGUUCUCAGCAGAAGCCAGAACGUGAAGCCUCAUGUCUUUUAGGAAUCAUUUACCAGAUCUGGAGAGGAGUGUGGCAGCAUCCACAGGUA